GUAUGACCACUCUGUCACAAUGCAGAGAGGAAAAUAAUAAUGAAGAAAAUAAUUAUCAUCUAUCAUAAACUGUCUUGAUUUUUUUAUCUGCUGAGGUACUCUGUAAUGUUCAUUAAACAAUUACAAAAUAAAAACGUUUGACCAAAACUUUCAUAAUCUGUUCUCAUUGCAGAUUCCUGGCUCUUUAGAGAUCCACUCACAUGGAAAGGUGAAGAGUGCCCAAUGUGAAACUGAGAACAUACCUUAAGUGACUUAGGUGACUGAUCCAAACCCAGUUAUCGUACUGGACAGUAGGUCAAAUUUAAGAUAUCCAGGUAAGAACAGAUGUAGCAGAGUGGAGAAAA
rnacentral:lncRNA from 1 species